rnacentral:rRNA from 1 species
UACGUAGGGUGCGAGCGUUAAUCGGAAUUACUGGGCGUAAAGCGCACGUAGUCGGCUUUGCAAGUCGGUUGUGAAAUCCCCGGGCUCAACCUGGGAACUGCAUCCGAGACUGCAUUGCUAGAGUAUGGGAGAGGAAAGCGGAAUUUCUGGUGUAGCAGUGAAAUGCGUAGAUAUCAGAAGGAACAUCAGUGGUGAAGGCGGCUUUCUGGACCAAUACUGACGAUCAGGUGCGAAAGCGUGGGGAGCAAACAGG